rnacentral:tRNA from 2 species
GGAAGGGUGGCCGAGUGGCUUAAGGCACACGCCUGGAACGCGUGGAGGUACGUCCUCUCGUGGGUUCGAAUCCCACCCCUUCCGCCA